AUUGAACGCUGGCGGCAUGCUUUACACAUGCAAGUCGAACGGCAGCACGGACUUCGGUCUGGUGGCGAGUGGCGAACGGGUGGGUAAUACAUCGGAACGUGCCCAGUUGUGGGGGAUAACUACUCGAAAGAGUAGCUAAUACCGCAUGAGAACUGAGGUUGAAAGCAGGGGAUCGUAAGACCUUGCGCAACUGGAGCGGCCGAUGGCAGAUUAGGUAGUUGGUGGGAUAAAAGCUUACCAAGCCGACGAUCUGUAGCUGGUCUGAGAGGACGACCAACCACACUGGGACUGAGACACGGCCCAGACUCCUACGGGAGGAAGCAGUGGGGAAUUUUGGACAAUGGGCGAAAGCCUGAUCCAGCAAUGCCGCGUGCAGGAUGAAGGCCUUCGGGUUGUAAACUGCUUUUGUACGGAACGAAAAGCUUCGGGUUAAUACCCUGGAGUCAUGACGGUACCGUAAGAAUAAGCACCGGCUAACUACGUGCCAGCCGCCGCCGUAA
rnacentral:rRNA from 1 species